GCCGCGUUGGCGUAGUGGUAGCGCGUCGCACUUGUACCAUACAUCUCCCUGAGCUUUGUUAUGCGAAGGUCACUCGUUCAAUCCGGGUACGUGGCA